UUUGGUAUGAUAUCUAGAGAGAGAGUCUCAGAGAACCAGGACUCUCUGAAUCAAAGUUCUUCUUCAAGUUGGGCCUUAAUCAGGUUCAAAUCGAGUCUGAAAUGAGCCAAAUUUGAAAAGACUAUCAAGCCUGAUUCAAUCAGACUUGAAAUCCAAAUCUGAUUUGGAUAAUUGAACCUAAUUAAUAUUAAAUUAAAUUAAAUUUAAUUAAAUUAAAUAUA
rnacentral:lncRNA from 1 species